GGUCGCUUCCGGGCGCUGCUGGCUGAGGCGGGGGGUGGGGGAAGUGGCGUCGGCGGCGGUGUCGGCCGGGGGGAAGGUGGUACUCGGGCCAGGACCGAGCUCCCUCCGGCGGACCCGCCAUGUGAGGAGACUCCGACGCCCCCUCAGAUGUCUGUAAAAGUGAAAGACUCAUCACUGUAAAAACAGUUGUUCGCUACCCCUUAUAUUUUGGGUCUCAUCAAUGUGCAGAUUGUAUGCAGUGUUACACUUUACACCAGAAGACAUGGACAGCAGCAGUUUCAUCCAGUUUGACGUUCCCGAGUACAGCAGCACCGUACUGAGCCAACUGAAUGAGCUUCGCCUGCAGGGAAAGCUUUGCGAUAUCAUUGUGCACAUUCAGGGUCAGCCGUUCAGAGCUCACAAAGCUGUAUUAGCUGCCAGUUCUCCAUAUUUCCGUGACCAUUCUGCAUUAAGUACCAUGAGCGGCCUCUCGAUAUCAGUCAUUAAAAACCCCAACGUCUUUGAACAGUUGCUCUCUUUUUGUUACACUGGAAGGAUGUCCUUGCAGCUGAAGGACGUUGUCAGUUUUCUAACUGCAGCUAGUUUUCUACAAAUGCAGUGUGUCAUUGAUAAGUGCACACAGAUCCUCGAAAGUAUCCAUUCAAAGAUCAAUGUCGGCGAAGUGGACUCGGUCACUGUUGGUGUUGCUGAUGCUCCAGAAAACCACAAUGGGGUUAAAGACGACAGUUACUUCGCCAACCCGGUGGAAAUCUCUCCUCCCUAUUGCUCUCAGGUGCGCCAGUCUGCUUCAGGCAGUGAUCUCAGAAUGGAAACUACCCCUACCAAGGCCCUGCAUAGCCGUCUGCAAGAAGAAGGGCAUUCAGACCGUGGAAGUAGCGGGAGCGUUUCAGAAUAUGAGAUUCAGAUUGAAGGUGAUCAUGACCAAGGGGACUUGGUAGUCAGAGAGAGCCAGGCUGCUGAGGUGAAAGUGAAAACGGAAAAAUCUGACCGGCCAAGCUGCUCCGAUAGCUCUUCGCUUGGCGAUGAUGGGUACCACACUGAAAUGGUAGAUGGGGAGCAAGUCAUGGCAGUUAACGUUGGCUCCUAUAGUUCUGUGUUGCAAAAUGCUUAUUCCCAUGGCGCAUCAUCCCAGUCUGCUAGCACGUCUGAAACCUUUGGAAGCCUGAGAAACUCAAGCUCUUCGCGAUCCAUGCUAGGCUCUCUCAGAGGUCGUGGCCGUCAGAAGCGGAUCUCCAGUAGCUACUUGCAUAGCGAUGUUCUGGGCCUGGUUCAAGGAGCUGAUGGUGAAUCUCCAGCGAAUCAUCCAGGAUAUGAAAACAGCCCGCGGGAAAGGAAUUCGAGAGGUCACUGGUAUGCCUAUAGCGAAAGGUUAAUCUGUAUAUACUGUGGGAAGUCUUUCAACCAGAAAGGGAGUCUUGAUCGGCACAUGAGGUUGCACAUGGGAAUAACCCCCUUUGUUUGCAAAUACUGUGGGAAGAAGUACACACGCAAGGACCAACUUGAGUAUCAUAUCCGUGGCCACACAGAUGACAAGCCUUUCCGCUGCGAGGUCUGUGGGAAAUGCUUCCCUUUCCAGGGAACCCUAAACCAGCACCUACGAAAGAAUCACCCUGGUGUAGCAGAAGUAAGAAGCAGAGUAGAGUCUCCAGAAAGAACAGAAGGCUAUGUGGAACAGAGAGAUGAUGAUGCUUUGGCCUCUGAAACGCUGGAUUACAGCAUGGACGUGCACACUUCGGAUUAAAAACAACUGUGUCCCUCAGUGUGACCCAAGCAAAGCACAUUGAUCCAUGCGUCUCCUUCUUGUUUCUUUAAUUAAGUUUCACAACUGGUAUAACAACAUUGUAAUUUUCCUGAUUUUGCAAGUCUUGUGAGUGCUGUUCCUGGAGAAAAGGCUACUGUUGUGUUUUUGAAGGAGGUAGGGUUUAGCUUUACUCCUAACAAUGUUUAUUAAAGGGCAGAAUAUUAUGGGAACGAUGCACUUGGCGGGAGGGAGGCUGGGGCUUCAACAGCGAAAAAUACUUAAAAAUAAGGCAGAUAUUGCAGAAUGGUGUAUCCUCUCAUGUUGUGCUUUGUGCAGUCCAAUCCUGCAUAGGUAUACUCGGAUGCAAGCCCCAUUGAGUUCAAUAGGACUUCCUCCCAGGUAGUGUGUGAGGAUGGCAGCCUUAACCAAACGUUAUGUAGGAGCAUAGGGUAUGCCUCCCACAUGUCCCAUCCAUGUGUCAUACUAAGUUGUGGGUUUUGGGUGGGUGGGUUAUUUGUUUUAUGAAUAACUAUUUUGAUAGCUUUGAAUUUUAUAUAAUAUAUAUUAUAUAUAAACAUAUAUAAGAUGUUCACUUUUUCUUUUUUGGUUGGGGGUGAAUGUAGAAAUAUCUUAAAUGGAAAGAAAAAACCUCUCUACAAGGCUUUCAACUCUUAAUCCUCUCUUUAGGGUUUUUUCCUUGUUUUUUUUUUUCCAUAAAGCUUUGGGCUUUUUUCCAUGUUCAACUAUUGUGUCCAAAAGUGAGCAAAGCUUACUAUGAAAAAAUAACUUUGCUCCAUUGCAUACGUAAACCAAAUGCCAUAAACGUAUUAAACUUAAAAUGGGAAUUUUUUUUUCUUGUCUAGAGUAUGAACUGGACAACCUGUGGUGCUGACCCUUUUUUAUAGAGAAAUGUGUUAUACUACGCAAAAGUAGCAUUGUGGAUUUAAAUGUUUUAGCUGUCCUCAGAAUCUACCUUCAUUUUGUACUGUAGAAACUAUACCAGGUAAAUCAGUCUUACCUUAAUCACUCUGCUUAUAUGGUUGGUUUAAAGUAGGCUAAACAGAAUGUUGUAGUAAAGUCUACAAUAUUUCUGAACGGAGUUCUAGAGAAUCUCUUCCAGAGAGCCGUAACUUCCGAUUUACCAUUUUCAAGUGAAAUUAAAGCACUUCUCUUUUCACUUUUUGUAAUGAUGCCAUAUGGGAUUUAUGAGCAAUAUGUCCUGUUGUAUUAGAGAGGUUAUUUUGGCUUCUCCGUAACUUCAAUGGCUGCUCAGUAUUUUUUUUUGUAAAGAGCCAAUAACAAACAUCUUUACACAUCCUUUUAAGAAUCCUGUUUUCUCUCUGUCUUUCUAAAGUGGUGCUAACUUUUUUCCUCUUAGGUCAGUAAUAGACAUAGAAGAUGUGAAACCUUGCUAUAGUAAAAAUCACAAAUCUUUCCACUUUAUUUGCUGGAAGAUAGACCUCAAAAAAAAACAUGAGCUGGCAAAUGAUUACUGUGUUAAGAAUUCUACCAAUUAACGGGAUACAGAUUUUUUGGAAUGAUAUUUUUAAGUGUAUACUCAAGAUAUAUUUAGGCUUGGCGGAAUGAGAAGCUUCUUGUUGAAAAAUCUUCAUCAGGGUAGAAAACUUUCAGUGGAAGAAGCUGCUCAGCUUGAGGGAUCCCCUCCACCUUGCAUUCUUUGCGCCUCUCCUGCUUCUGUUUCCGUCUUGUAUAAAUGCUACUGCAGGUUUAAGAUUUCUUUGGUGGGUGAGCAGAGUAGUACAGAGGUUUGGCAUUAAAACGGGGAUGGGGAAUCUUUGGCCCUCCAGAUGACACUGAACUACAACUCCCAUCAGCCCGAGCAAGCAUGGCCAGUGGCUAGGGAUUAUGGGAGUUGUAGCUCACCAGCAUCUGGAGGGCCAAAGUUUCUCCAUCCAUGCAUUAAAACCAUAUUGGAGGAAGCAUGGACACAGGCACAAGGAGAGUAUUAAUUGGCUGGUGGCCAUCAAAAUGGAUCUUUCCACAAGUAUACGGGGUUCUUCGGACCCCAGUUUUCUCUGUGCAAGAGCUUAAAACGCACUUUCACCCACACAUAGGAGUAUUCUGUUCCCACUUAGGCAAAUUGGUUGUUUAUUUUUUCCUUACAGGCACAAACCCAAAUAAAAUAGUGGGAAUAUAUUUACACCUCGGCCAAAUCAGAGGUGGGAAGGCAUGAACAUUUUGCUGCCUUCCAGUGAUAUUUAUUUGUAUAUUUUAAUAAGGUGACUUUUGAAUCUGAGCCUGAAAUCUUUAUUCUUUUAUGAUUCCCUCCAUUUCUCACAACUGUGAAUUUUAAUCUUUUAAGAAGUCUGUGUCUUUAUGGGAAUUCAUGAACCUCCGUCAAAGUUCUCAUUCUGCUGAGGCUACUUAUAUAUUUCAUGUAUAUUCUGUGGGUUUAAACACUGAAAACAGCUGAGGUGGUGCUAAGGAUGGCUGACAGACAUAGUGUCUGGAGCUUGUUAAAAUCUGUACAAAGUGUUCUGCAAAGUAUUUCAGCUGGAGUGCAAGUGGCUUACACAUUUGUUUCCCCCCCCAUCUGCUGUUAUUUUCCAAAUUAUCGUUAAAAAGAAUGAAGCUUGCUUGCUUGGAAUGGUUUGCGUGUGGGGGUGGGGGUUUGCCGUUUUGUUUGGGACUUGAAGAGAAUAUGCUUUUGCAGUAUUUUUAGACUGAACUUUUCAUUACUGUUUAUGAAAGCCGGUAAUAAGGAUUAAUGUUAUCACAAAUUACAGGAAAUCAGGUCUGUUUUGUAGAUGGGUUUUUCAUUAGACUGGGUAUGUAAUCAGCCUUUUCCUUCUACAGCUGCUUAAGAGAUUCCUUCCCACUCCUCCCCAGAGCAACAUUUAACAUUUCUGUUUCUUUCUUUGUUUUCGACUACUAGAAACAAGGGCUGGAGUCCAAAGGGCCAGUGUUACACGUGUGCACUGGGGCCUUCCCUGUUUUCUGCCUUCCUGCUAUACCCUCCCCUCAUCUCUCCCCCCUCCCCCAUCCACUUCUGAAGAUCAGAAGACUCUUGAGUGGCAAGGGAUGGAGCUGGGCAGGUAGAAUGAAACUGGUGACAAAUUUGCACCAUGCACGCAGAGAAAUGGUUUCCUCUUGUACACAAGCCUCUUUGGAUUUCCAGCCCGCGUGUGUACUUCAAGGGGAGGUUACAUGUCUGUUCUUUUACUCUUACAACACAGUACAAACAUGCAUCAGUUUAUUGUACCUUUUGCUGAAGUAAUGAAGUUUUGAUUGCAUUUGAGACCCUCAAACAAAAGUCCAGAUGUGCAGAGUUAAAAUGUGACCCUUUACGGUGAACCUGUGCUGUGGUGCCUUUUAAGCCACUUGGCUUACUCCAUAGUAGUACAAUUUAAGGAAAGAAGGGAAGGGCAGUUAACUUUGUAUUUCCCUGACUUUUGUCUCUGUGUCAACCUUAAAAAGUUAUUUUAAAUACAAGUUUUUAAAAUAUGUAAACUUGGUUGAGCUGGUUUGAGUUUACCAAAGAGUGACUUAUCCAAAAUUAUACAUAAUUUUUAAUUGUACAGGCUUCAGGUUCAAACGUUGCAGUGGGACUGUUAACAGCUUAGGAGUUAUCAAUCUCCUUACAACAUCCUCAUUCAAGAAAUUUUUGAGUUCCGUAUACACUCGCUCAUGCCAGUGGCCAUAUUCACACAACACUAAACCAUGGUUUUGUGCUAUGUGCAUGAGUUACAGCAAGUCCAACCAAAGUCUCAGGCUCCCCUCUCCAAUUCCUGUGUGGUUGGGAGGACAUCUGCAGCAUUUAGCUUUACUUUAACAGGAUCCAGUGCUGCAUAUGAACCAGAUACUCUGGUUUAAAACAGGCUCUAGUCAGUUUCAAAGCAAGCCAACUUCAUACAAGAGGAAAUGGGGGGAGUAUGCUAUAGUUUGUGCGCAAAUCACUAGACCAGGUUUAGUGUUACAUUAGAACAUGGUCAAUAUGUUUUUUCCAUUCGUACUGCCUACCGGGGUUAAAAAUUAUCAAGCCAUAAUAUAUUAAUGUAAAGAUCAAGAGCUUCAUAGGACAUGUAGGCAGCUCUAGAGGUCUGAUCUAGAGAAGUUAACCUGCUUUUAUCUUCCAUCGGUUUCCAUGAAUGUUCAGAUGUCUAAAGGCCGUUUCACAGAAGAUAUAAGCCACCUUGAGCACCAUUUGAUGGAAAAGUAGAUACAAAUUUAACGAGCAAAUUAAUUGUGUUUUCACCUAUCCCAAUAUGUGCAUUUGUGUGAACAAUGCAGCAUGCCUUCAAGGCAAUCAUAGAGAGUACAGAACAGCAGAUGUGGAGAGUUCUCUGCUAUUUCAGUGGUGGUCCCAUCUCCUAUUCUCUCCCCUCAUGAUAUAUAUCAUCUACUCCGAGUUUGUGCAUCAUGUUAUUUCCCCUCUGCAUCACGGCUGGGGUUGAAAUGCAGGACAUCACUUUUAUUUAUUUAUUUAUUAAAUUUAUUAGUCGCCCAUCUGGCUGCCUGUCCAGCCACUCUGGGCGACGUACAAAAUAAAAACAUACAAAUACAUUAAAACAUUAAAAAUCUCAACAAUAAUAAUAAAACCUAACCCACCCCAAAAGCCUGCCUGAAGAGCCAGGUCUUCAAGGCCCGGCGGAAGCUCAUCAUAGAGGGGGCAUGGCGGAGACAUUUGGGAGGGAAUUCCACAAAGUGGGGGCCACAACUGAAAAAGCCCUCUCCCUAGUUCUCACCAGUCUAGCUGUUUUAACUGGUGGGAUAGAGAGAAGGCCUUUUGAGGCUGAUCUUGUUGAGCGGCAUCCCUGAUGAUGUUGGAGGCACUCCUUCAGAUAGACUGGGCCGAAACUAUAGGGUUUUAAAGGUCAGAACCAACACCUUGAAUUGGGCCCAGAAAACAACCGGUAACCAGUGCAACUCCUUCAGCACUAGAGUGAUGUGAUCUCGCCAGCGGCUGCCUUUAAUCAGGCGAGCCGCCGCAUUCUGUACCAGUUGCAGCGUCCGGACCAUUUUCAAGGGUAACCCCACGUAGAGCACAUUACAGUAGUCUAGGCGACAGGAGACCAGGGCAUGUAUCACAGAUGGGAGCAGAUGGUUGAUACAGCGCUGCCCUGCUCACAGCCGAGACCUGAGCCUCCAUGGACAACUGGGAGUCAAGAAUCACCCCCAGGCUGCGGACCUGGUCUUUCAGGGGCAAUUGUACCCCACUGAGCACCAGGUCAACAUCCCCCAACCUUUGUCUCCCACAAACAGUACCUCAGUUUUGUCAGGGUUCAGCUUCAGCUUAUUCCUUCCCAUCCAGCCACUCGCCGACUCCAGGCACUUGGAUAGGGUUCCUACAGCCAACCUCGGUGGAGAUUUGAAUGAGAGAUAGAGCUGCAUAUCAUCCACUACUGGUGACACUGCAGCCCAGAUCUUCUGAUGAUAGCCCCCAGCGGCUUUAUAUAAAUGUUGAAUAGCAUUGGGGAGAGGAUGGAGCUCUGUGGCACCCCACAAUUGAGAGGCUAAGGAUCCGAAACCUCAUUCCCCCAAUGCCACUCUUUGGUACCUCCCAGAGAGGAAGGAAUGGAACCACUGCAAUACAGUGCCCCCUAUUCCUAACCUCUUCAGGCCGUCCAGAAGGAUACCGUGGUCAACGGUAUCAAAAGCUGCUGAGAGAUCCAGGAGGACAAGGAAGGUGCAUUUGCCCCUAUCCCACGCCCUCCUCAUAUUAUCCACCAAGGCAGCUCUGUCUCCACCCAGGUUCAGUGACUAAAUGCUGUUUAAUUGGAAGAACUGCUGCUGACUGCCUUUGGCCACCCACAUCACCUGUCUCAGUUGUCCGCAUUAGUGCACAGACACCAUAAGGUGGCUUGGGGUUGCUUAUGUGCAGGGCAAAAUGUCUUUUGUGAAGCAGCCUUUACUUGUCUUCCUUGGAUUUUACCCUAGAGCCUCCACUGGUGUGUUGCAACACACGAGAGACUAGCAGACAAGCUUCAAAGGUGGCAUCAUCGUCUAAAUUGUGCCUUGUCACAUCAUGGUUCCAUGGUAAUAGGGUACCAUCUUAAUCCAUUUUGAAGUUCAUAACUUACUUCCACCAAGGUGGAAAGCAUGCAGUGAACUAUUUUAGGUGAAUUCUGAAAAUACUGUGCAGUACUGUACAGUUUUAGGUUGGUGUAGAACUGUUAAUAUAUUUCUUUUUAAAGUAAAUGCAGAAGUUAAGAAAACCAGUAAUAUUGGGUUUAAAAUAUGUGAAAUCAUGCAGGCUGGUUCAUAAUUGAGUCUCUUAAUCUACCUUUUUAGCUACAUAGACAAUGUGAAGAAGAAGAAAACAGUGACAGUGUCCUUUUUUCUCCUUUAGAUGUUUUAACCUAUUUACAAACUGUGAAAAAACAAUUUUAUACUUUUUGCUAACAUUUGUGGUUUUCAGCAGCUGUUAAUUUUUUUCUUAACUGGCUUAUCUUCCGAAUAAUUUCUAUUGAAGUUGUAAAUAGACUCAGAAAAUAACUUUGUAAAUAAGUGAGUUUUUUUGUUUUGAAAAACGCAACGCAGCGCCUCACGGUUGUUGGUUCUGUAUUCAAGUGUGGAUGCUUUUAGUGGCAGAAAGGAUACUGUCUGUUCACUCUUUGGCAGAAUUUACUGUAAGUUGAAAUCAGGGAUGCUCAUCUUAAGGGGAGACUUGUGGAAUUUCAAUAGCAUCUAGCUAGCCCUUUACAUAGGCUGUAGGAAGUGUAAGAAGUUACCAGAUUUGUUGUGUCUGGCUCAUUUAUGGCUGUUGCAGACAUCGGCCUGAUCUCUCAAUCUCUCUUGGCACAGUUCAGGGAUCAGGAGCAAAUUCCCCCCAAUCACCACCCUAACCCUGGUUAAGAGAGAUGUUGGGAAGUAUGUUAAAUAUGAAUAUCCAGGUUCCCUGCUGGUUCUUAACCAAUCUGGUUUGCCAUCAUGGUUAAGCAGGGGACCUAGUUAAGGCUCUUAGCCAAGGUUUAAGUGGAGGGGAGAAUGUGCAUCUUCCCCAAGAGCAAAAUCUGAUUCCCCCCUUUCUUUGACCAUGGAUAAAAUCUGGCCUUUUUACUAUGCACCACCCUAUAAUGGCAUAGUCGCCAUGCAGGGGGCAUCUGCAUGCGGGGCUGAGAUGAAAGUUGCACAUAAGCCACCUCUGGGUUUGAGCACUCCUUGCCUAAAUCAAAUUUUUAGAAGCCUUUUAAGGUUCCCAGAAUAAAUAACUAAAUGUUCUGUAGUCAUUCAUUUAUUUCUGGUCAGAAUUAAGUUGUUCAGAUGUAACUGUUAUGGGCUAACAUAAGAGGAAGACUAGCAGGGCUUUUUUUUAAGGGCUGGGAAAGAUGGUGCGUGACUGAGCUUUACCUUGACGCAAAUGUAUCUUCUUUGAAAUGUUUGUUUUAGUUUACUGUGACUUCUACUUUUUUUUGUCAUCUGAAAGGGUUUCACAUUGAAGCCACUGAAAAGGGACUCAAAUAUGCAACACCUAAUCUAUUUUCUAAGGGAAUUUUACCCUUGAAUGGUGCUUUUAGACUGGUCAGGGUUAUUUAUUAAAUUUUUAUAUAUUUUAAAGUAUUUGGGAAUUGUGUAAAUCCUUUAUAUAUAUAAUAUAUAUAUAUAUAUAUAUAUGAAUCUAUUUAGUUCAUGAAUUGUAAGCAACAGUAAUACUCAGCAACUGAACCCAAAGUUCAGUGAAGUCAUUCAGAAUGUUCGUAGUAUGGCAGUCUUUAAACAGGUCUUUAAACUAUAACGCUUGUUGCACCCUCAGCCAUCCCUAAAAUGGUGCAUUAUUUCAGUUGUGUAAGCUUACCUAACAAUGCUAAAUGGGAUUCGGGUCUGAGAGAGUUGUUCUGUGACCCCAAUUGGAGAUGUAGAGCAAAGUAUCAGUAAUAGGGCUGUGGUUAUGACCUGUACAAAUACCUGUUUUUAAAGACACAGGACAUGGCUGUCUUUCUGAUGGUAUGCUUCAGUGGUUUUCAAAACUGGGGGUUGUAUGCAGCUAAGUUCUACUCAGAGUAGACCCAUUGGAAUGAAUGGACCUAAGGUGUGUAUUGAUUUCAGCGGGUCUACUCUGAGAAUGACAGCCGCUGGACACAACCCUUGGAUUCCUUAGAGGUUUGGGUUCUUCAGUGAGAAUGUCCUUGCCAUAUCCAAAUAUUGCAGUCAGAAGUCAACAGGGGAGUACUAGCUACGUGUCAGGCCGACCUCUCGCUUCAUGCAGGACAGUGAUAAGGCGUACAAGCCCGGACAGCACCUUGGCUGGAUGUGUGAGUACUUCCUAGAACAGAGGUUGACAGCCUUCAAGCACGUUUGUUUGUUUUUUACUAGAGGUCUCAAGUGCACCAACCAGAAGCAGGCACAAAAUAGCAGCUCAGUGGGGUGGACUUGUGCUUGGAAUUUAAGGAGCAAGAUGCCUCUGAGCAUAUGAGAAAUCAGUGGUGGGGAAUAGCUGGCCCGCAAACCUAAUUAGGCCCGCAAUCCCAAACCUAGUCCCACCUGAUGCCAUACGCCAAGGAAUUUGCUGUUGCUUCUAGAACUGAGCUCUAGGGCAGUAUCCAGGGUUAGUAUAUGCUUCAGUGUUAGCAAAAAGUUUAUGCUUUAGGGGGCAUGCAGAGGGAGGAGAGGGGGGGAAAUUCCAAUGUGCAGGCAUAAAUACUUGUGCAAAUGGAGCGAGAGACUUAGUGCUACUUUGGAUACAGAAGUCUCAGUCCUUUCAGACCGAAAUCUCUUCACCAGUUUUGUUUCAGUAGCCUAUGGGGUUUUUGUUGUUGCUGUUGCCAGAUCAUUUGGGAACUAGAAGCCCUUGACGGCCCACUGCACUGCAAGCCACCCAGAUAUCUCCCAAAAGAUUCUCAUCUGCCUUCCUCUGUACUGGGACAUGCCUCAGAAUCCAACGGUCCCCCAAGACUAGUUCAAUGGGGAGAAUCAUCCCUGAAGGUAGAAAGAUUGAAAACCACUGGCAGCAUACCAAGAGAAAUGUCAGAGCCAAUCUUCUGGGACUCAGUCCUUUCAAAGCAGGAAACCCACCUACCCAACUCUUGGAGUUUGCUCCCUUAACUGAUUGCUUCAUGGGAGCUACGUUGACCUUGUAAAAUCAUCCCUCCACCUCAGUGAGAAUGACUUUGCUUGAUGGGAAUGUGACAUGUUGAAACAUGCUGAAAGCUAUUCCUGUAGCAAAGGGGUGAAUCAAUGACUCCUGUGAAAAAUAAGACAUUUUAACAAGCCUCAAACCAAAUACAGCAGCCAUAAGAGAAUGCAGUUGUGGUUCAGGAACACUGAAUAUUCAUAUGUGUACUUGAGCAUGAAAACCAUGUAGGAGCCCAGGGCGGCAAACUAUAGUUUCCAAGAUUACUCAUUCAGUAUUGCAAAGGACCCUUAUUCCAUUUCUGGGAUUCUGUUUAGAUGUGCUGCCUAGGAGUCCUUGCGGUCCUGAAAGAUUCUCUUUCUUUCUAUUUAUACCUAACAGCUACAUACAAAAGCCAGCUGACCAAUGUAGGUCCACCAUGUGCUAUAUCCUCUGACAGGUAGCUGACAACGUGGUCAACGCAUAGCUGCUCUUGGCUGUUUUCCCAGGAGAUGACAAUGAGUCUCCUUUCUUCACUGGGCCAUGUAGUGGCAUUUCAUGUCAACAUUCAGGAUUUUGACACUUGCAUCUUCUAAUUUUCAUGCUACUGGUAAAGUUAAAUGAGGAUGUAUAUAUCCAUGUGCUUAAACUUUUUAAAAAGAUUAUUUCACAAUGCAUACUGGUAUCCUAUCAGAGGUAACAUAGCAGACUGAUGGUAGAAGACUUUAUCAGAUAGCUAAUUCUCUUUCUACCAUCUAUUAAGUUUGCAGUCAUGUGCUGAAUGAGCUUUUUUCAGUGGGCCCCUAAACUCUACAAUCACCUCCCUAUUUGCAGUGCACCAGACUGGAAACUUGGUGAUUUUAAAAGUGCUGUUGGGGGACACGUAGCUCAGCAAUACUACAUUCAAGAAGGAUCGUGGGAUUGUUGUUGAUCACAAGCUGAAUAUGAACCAAAAGUGUGAUGUGGCUGCAAAGAGGGCAAAUGCUAUUUUAGGCUGCAUUAACAGAAGUAUAGUUCCCAAAUCGUGUGAAGUACUAGUUCCCCUCUAUGUGGCACUAUUUCCCCUCAUCUUGAAUACUGCAUCCAGUUCUGGGCACCGCCCUUUAAGGAUGCAGACAAACUGGAACAGGUUCAGAGGAGGGCAACAAGGAUGAUUAGGGGACUGGAAACAAAGCCGUAUGAGGAGAGACUGAAAGAACUGGGCAUGUUUAGCCUUGAGAAGACUGAGGGGAGGUAUGAUAGCACUCUUCCAGUACUUGAAAGGUUGCCAUACAGAGGAGGGCCAGGAUAUCUUCUUAAUGAUCUCUGAGUUCAGGACACGGAAUAAUGGGCUCAAGUUGCAGGAAGCCAGACUUCGACUGAACAUCAGGAAAGACUUCCUGUUAGAGUGGUAUGACAAUGGAACCAAAGACCUAGGGAGGUGAUGGGCUCUCCGCACUAAAGGCAUUCAAGAGGCAGCUGGACAGCCACCUGUUGAGUAUGCUUUAAUUUGGGUUCCUGCAUUGAGCAAGGGGUUGGGCUCAGUCUUAUAGGCUCAUUCCAAUUCUAUGGUUUUUCUUAUAUAUAUGCUGACCUUUUGUGGGACUGCAGAACUGAACAGAAGCACACUCUGGCCAAUGCUACCAGCCAGGUGACAUGAGGCUGCAACCCCUGCCUCCCAGGAAGAACAUCAUAGCAAGUGGGAGACCAACCUGGCUCCAUCCACUGCCCAGGGAAAGGACAGCUGUUCCAAUGCUUGCUUUCCUAUUUCCUCCCCUUUCCUUUUUGUAUUGUCUGCAAGAUGGUGAAUCUGCAGACAGAGACUGUCUUAAUUAUUUUAAUUCAUGUACAAUGUUUAGAACAUUUUAAUUAAAUGUAUUAGCUGGUGAUGUUUCUUUCAAGCCUUCAAGAAACUGUUUUAAAUAAACAAU